UACGUAGGAUGCGAGCGUUGUCCGGAAUUAUUGGGCGUAAAGAGCUCGUAGGCGGCUUGUCGCGUCGGAUGUGAAAGCCCGGGGCUUAACUCCGGGUCUGCAUUCGAUACGGGCAGGCUAGAGUUCGGUAGGGGAGAUCGGAAUUCCUGGUGUAGCGGUGAAAUGCGCAGAUAUCAGGAGGAACACCGGUGGCGAAGGCGGAUCUCUGGGCCGAUACUGACGCUGAGGAGCGAAAGCGUGGGGAGCGAACAGG
rnacentral:rRNA from 1 species